ensembl:lncRNA
AGCUAGGUGUUGAUAGGGAGUGGUGUACCAGCUAGGUGUUGAUAGGGAGUGGUGUAAUAGCUAGGUGUUGAUAGGGAGUGGUGUAACAGAUAGGUGUUGAUAGGGAGUGGUGUAAUAGAUAGGUGUUGAUAGGGAGUGGUGUAAUAGAUAGGUGUUGAUAGGGAGUGGUGUAAUAGCUAGGUGUUGAUAGGGAGUGGUGUAAUAGCUAGGUGUUGAUAGGGAGUGGAGUAAUAGCUAGGUGUUGAUAGGGAGUGGUGUAACAGAUAGGUGUUGAUAGGGAGUGGUGUAAUAGCUAGGUGUUGAUAGGGAGUGGUGUAACAGAUAGGUGUUGAUAGGGAGUGGUGUAAUAGCUAGGUGUUGAUAGGGAGUGGUGUAAUAGCUAGGUGUUGAUAGGGAGUGGUGUAAUAGCUAGGUGUU